GAUGAACGCUGGCGGCGUGCUUAACACAUGCCAGUCGAACGGGAAACCUUUUAUUGAAGCUUCGGCAGAUUUAGCUGGUUUCUAGUGGCGGACGGGUGAGUAACGCGUGGGUAACCUGCCUUAUACAGGGGGAUAACAGUCAGAAAUGGCUGCUAAUACCGCAUAAGCGCACAGAGCUGCAUGGCUCAGUGUGAAAAACUCCGGUGGUAUAAGAUGGACCCGCGUUGGAUUAGCUGGUUGGUGGGGUAACGGCCCACCAAGGCGACGAUCCAUAGCCGGCCUGAGAGGGUGAACGGCCACAUUGGGACUGAGACACGGCCCAGACUCCUACGGGAGGCAGCAGUGGGGAAUAUUGCACAAUGGGGGAAACCCUGAUGCAGCGACGCCGCGUGAAGGAAGAAGUAUCUCGGUAUGUAAACUUCUAUCAGCAGGGAAGAUAAUGACGGUACCUGACUAAGAAGCCCCGGCUAACUACGUG
rnacentral:rRNA from 1 species